AGUCUGACACUUUCAACUCCCACCAUUCAAUUUUCCACAAGUUAGUCAUGUAGAGGUAAGGAUGAAACAAAAAGGGGUAAGAAGAAGAAAGCACAAAUCAAAUUUGAAUAAACGAAGAAUUCAAUCCUUACAGCAGAGAAGUCUGCUGCAAAUGGUAAAUUUCGGAGAGGAGCAGAGAGUGAG